GGCUCGGUGGUGGACGGUCCACGCCUACAUACCGUGUGAUGCUACAUCCGUUCUUUAUCAUGCAGGAGGAGCCCGUUCGACUCGGGCCCGAGCCA